AGGUCAACUUCGAGGACUAUGAUUGCAUUAUUGGAGCAGUUAAUGAAGGACAAAAUCACUGGACAUUAUUGGUUAUUUUUCCACAAGAAAAAAUGAUAUGUUACUAUAAUCCAAUGGGUGAAAUGUUCCUGUCUAUGCAUGAAUUGAUGGAGAACUGGUAUUACUUUAUGAAGAAAAGGUCAGAUUUUAUGCUUGAUGGGGAAGGAUCAUGGAGAGUACAAGUCCUAGAGCACUCAAAGCAAAUGGAUGGCACAUCAUGUGGUGUUUAUGUAUUGAAG